rnacentral:rRNA from 1 species
GACGAACGCUGGCGGCGUGCUUAACACAUGCAAGUCGAACGGUGAAGCGCCUUCCUUUUUGGUGGGUGUGGAUGAGUGGCGAACGGGUGAGUAACACGUGAGUAACCUGCCUCCUUCUUCUGGAUAACCGCAUGAAAGUGUGGCUAAUACGGGAUAUUCUGGGUCUGUCGCAUGAUGGGUCUGGGAAAGAUUUUGUUUCGGUGGGGGAUGGGCUCGCGGCCUAUCAGCUUGUUGGUGGGGUGAUGGCCUACCAAGGCGGUGACGGGUAGCCGGCCUGAGAGGGUGGACGAUCACACUGGGGCUGAGACGCGGACCGGACUCCGACGGGAGGCAGCAGGGGGGGAUAUUGCACGAUGGGCGCAAGGCUGAUGCAGCGACGCCGCGUGAGGGAUGGAGGCCGGCGGGUUGUGAGCCUCUUUCGCCAGUGAAGCAGGCCUGCCGCGUUUGUGGGUGGGUUGACGGUAGCUGGAUAAGAAGCGCCGGCUAACUACGUG